rnacentral:rRNA from 1 species
UGGGGAAUUUUGGACAAUGGGCGCAAGCCUGAUCCAGCCAUGCCGCGUGCGGGAAGAAGGCCUUCGGGUUGUAAACCGCUUUGUCAGGGAAGAAAUCUUCUGAGUUAAUACCUCGGGAGGAUGACGGUACCUGAAGAAUAAGCACCGGCUAACUACGUGCCAGCAGCCGCGGUAAUACGUAGGGUGCAAGCGUUAAUCGGAAUUACUGGGCGUAAAGCGUGCGCAGGCGGUUUUGUAAGACAGAGGUGAAAUCCCCGGGCUCAACCUGGGAACUGCCUUUGUGACUGCAAGGCUUGAGUGCGGCAGAGGGGGGAUGGAAUUCCGCGUGUAGCAGCGAAAUGCGUAGAUAUGCGGAGGAACACCGAUGGCGAAGGCAAUCCCCCUGGGCCUGCACUGACGCUCAUGCACGAAAGCGUGGGGAGCAAACAGGGUUAGAU